UGGGGAAUAUUGCACAAUGGGCGCAAGCCUGAUGCAGCCAUGCCGCGUGUAUGAAGAAGGCCUUCGGGUUGUAAAGUACUUUCAGUCGGGAGGAAGGUGGUAAGGUUAAUAACCUUAUCAAUUGACGUUACCGACAGAAGAAGCACCGGCUAACUCCGUGCCAGCAGCCGCGGUAAUACGGAGGGUGCAAGCGUUAAUCGGAAUUACUGGGCGUAAAGCGCACGCAGGCGGUUGAUUGAGUCAGAUGUGAAAUCCCCGGGCUUAACCCGGGAAUUGCAUCUGAUACUGGUCAGCUAGAGGCUUGUAGAGGGGGGUAGAAUUCCAUGUGUAGCGGUGAAAUGCGUAGAGAUGUGGAGGAAGACCGGUGGCGAAGGCGGCCCCCUGGACAAAGACUGACGCUCAGGUGCGAAAGCGUGGGGAGCAAACAGG
rnacentral:rRNA from 1 species